CCUACGGGGGGCAGCAGUGGGGAAUAUUGGACAAUGGGCGCAAGCCUGAUCCAGCCAUGCCGCGUGAGUGAUGAAGGCCUUAGGGUUGUAAAGCUCUUUUGCCAGGGAAGAUAAUGACUGUACCUGGAGAAUAAGCCCCGGCUAACUUCGUGCCAGCAGCCGCGGUAAUACGAAGGGGGCUAGCGUUGUUCGGAAUCACUGGGCGUAAAGCGCACGUAGGCGGACUCUUAAGUCAGGGGUGAAAGCCUGAGGCUCAACCUCAGAACUGCCCUUGAUACUGGGAGUCUUGAGUAUGGUAGAGGUUGGUGGAACAGCAAGUGUAGAGGUGAAAUUCGUAGAUAUUUGCUAGAACACCAGUGGCGAAGGCGGCCAACUGGACCAUAACUGACGCUGAGGUGCGAAAGCGUGGGGAGCAAACAGGAUUAGAUACCCUUGUAGUCC
rnacentral:rRNA from 1 species